rnacentral:rRNA from 1 species
AUACGGAGGAUCCGAGCGUUAUCCGGAUUUAUUGGGUUUAAAGGGUGCGCAGGCGGCCAUUUAAGUCAGCGGUUAAAUCGUGGGGCUCAACCCCAUUCUGCCGUUGAUACUGGGUGGCUUGAUUGCGGUCGAGGUUGGCGGAAUUCGUUGUGUAGCGGUGAAAUGCAUAGAUAUGACGAAGAACACCGAUUGCGUAGGCAGCUGACCAGACCGCAAAUGACGCUCAUGCUCGAAAGUGCGGGGAUCGAACAGGAUUAGAUACCCUGGUAGUCCGCACAGUAAACGAUGAAUACUUGUUUUCGGCGAUAUAAUGUCGGAGGCAAAGCGAAAGCGAUAAGUAUUCCACCUGGGGAGUACGCCGGCAACGGUGAAACUCAAAGGAAUUGACGGGG